GUGGCGUCUUUCUAAACCCCCUCAACCGUCCAAGCUUCCAUAAUACCAUCUGAACUUCUUUCGGACUUCGUCAAUAUCCAAACUUCUCCGACAAUGAGAUUUCUACAGUAACCAGACUCCAUCCAAGUUUCUACGACGGUCGACCGCCUUCUGGAUUCUAUCCGAGCUCCUGCGAGAGCCGAACUUCUACAGCAAGCAGUCUACUCCAAACUUCUACAGCAAGCAGUCUACUCCAAACUCCUACUGC
rnacentral:lncRNA from 1 species